rnacentral:rRNA from 1 species
CCUGCCCAGUGAAUAUAAAACUUUAAACGGCCGCGGUAUCUUGACCGUGCAAAGGUAGCAUAAUAACUUGCUCUUUAAUUGAGGGCUAGUAUGAAAGGCAAGACGAAGGCAAAACUGUCUCCCUACUAAAAAAAGAAAUUAAUAUUUUAGUGAAGAAGCUAAAAUAAAAUCGCUAGACAAGAAGACCCUGUCGAGCUUAAGAAAAUCCUUAUUUUUAAAGAAGAAAAAGCUAAUAUUUGAAUUUUUUAUUAAAAAUACUUUUUCAAAAACCAAUAAUAAAGAUAUCUUUGGUUGGGGCAACCACGAAGAAAAAAAAACCUUCGAUUUUUAUAAAAAAUAAACAAAUUUAAAAUCUUUAAAGCUUAAAAUAGAUCCGGAAAUUUUCCGAUCAAAGAAAAAAGUUACCGCAGGGAUAACAGCGUUAUUCUCUUUGAGAGCUCAUAUUGACAAGAGAGUUUGCGACCUCGAUGUUGGACCGGGGCACCCAAGAGAUGCAGAAGUCUCUAAAGGUAGGUCUGUUCGACCUUUAAAGCCCUACGUGA